GUAGGUGGCAAGCGUUGUCCGGAAUUAUUGGGCGUAAAGCGCGCGCAGGUGGUUCUUUAAGUCUGAUGUGAAAGACCCCCGGGCUCAACCGGGGAGGGUCAUUGGAAACUGGGGAACUUGAGUGCAGGAGAGGAAAGUGGAAUUCCACGUGUAGCGGUGAAAUGCGUAGAUAUGUGGAGGAACACCAGUGGCGAAGGCGACUUUCUGGCCUGUAACUGACACUGAGGCGCGAAAGCGUGGGGAGCAAACAGGAUUAGAUACCCUGGUAGUCCACGCCGUAAGCGAUGAGUGCUAAGUGUUGGGGGGUUUCCGCCCCUCAGUGCUGCAGCUAACGCAUUAAGCACUCCGCCUGGGGAGUACGGUCGCAAGACUG
rnacentral:rRNA from 1 species